rnacentral:rRNA from 1 species
GUGGGGAAUCUUGCGCAAUGGGCGAAAGCCUGACGCAGCCAUGCCGCGUGAAUGAUGAAGGUCUUAGGAUUGUAAAAUUCUUUCACCGGGGACGAUAAUGACGGUACCCGGAGAAGAAGCUCCGGCUAACUUCGUGCCAGCAGCCGCGGUAAUACGAAGGGGGCUAGCGUUGCUCGGAAUUACUGGGCGUAAAGGGCGCGUAGGCGGACAGCUUAGUCAGAGGUGAAAGCCCAGGGCUCAACCAUGGAAUUGCCUUUGAUACUGGCUGUCUUGAGUUUGGGAGAGGUGAGUGGAACUCCGAGUGUAGAGGUGAAAUUCGUAGAUAUUCGGAAGAACACCAGUGGCGAAGGCGACUCACUGGCCCAAUACUGACGCUGAGGCGCGAAAGCGUGGGGAGCAAACAGGAUUAGAAACCCUAGUAGUCC